GAGGGUUUAGCUCAGUGGUAGAAUGUGUGCUUAGCAUGCACGAGGUUCUGGAUUCAGUUCCCAGUACCUCCA
rnacentral:tRNA from 1 species